UGCUGCGGUUAAAAAGCUCGUAGUCGGAUGUCGGGCGCGGUCGAUCGGUCCGUCGCGAGACGUGUCACUGGUCGGCCGGCCAAUGCAGCCUGUGUCCCGGCGGUGCUCUUGAUUGAGUGCCGCCGGUGGGCCAGGCCGGUUACUUUGAAAAAAUUAGAGUGUUCAAAGCAGGCCCUGGGAGCCUGAAUAUCGGUGCACGGAAUAACGAAAGAGGACCUCGGUCUUGCUUUUGUUGGUUUUUGAAGGCGCGAGGUAAUGAUCGAGAGAGACGGACGGGGGCAUCCGUACUGUGCCGUCAGAGGUGAAAUUCUUGGACCGGCGCAAGACGAACUACUGCGAAAGCAUUUGCCAAGAAUGUUUUCCUUGAUCAAGAGCGAAAGUCAGAGGUUCGAAGACGAUCAGAUACCGUCCUAGUUCUGACUGUAAACGAUGCCGACUGGCGAUCGGGCGGCGUUUGCUUUUGAAGACCCGCCCGGCAGCCUCCGGGAAACCAAAGUCUUUGGGUUCCGGGGGAAGUAUGGUUGCAAAGCUGAAACUUAAAGGAAUUGACGGAAGGGCACCACCAGGAGUGGAGCCUGCGGCUUAAUUUGACUCAACACGGGGAAUCUCACCCGGCCCGGACACAGCGAGGAUUGACAGAUUGAGAGCUCUUUCUUGAUUCUGUGGGUGGUGGUGCAUGGCCGUUCUUAGUUGGUGGAGCGAUUUGUCUGGUUAAUUCCGAUAACGAACGAGACUCUGGCCUGCUAAAUAGUUACGCGACCCCUGAGCGGUCGGCGGAUUGAACUUCUUAGAGGAACUAGCGGCGUUUAGCCGCACGAGAUUGAGCAAUAACAGGUCUGUGAUGCCCUUAGAUGUUCGGGGCCGCACGCGCGCUACACUGACCGGAUCAGCGUGUCUUUCCCUGGGCCGAAAGGUCCGGGUAAUCCGCUGAACCCCGGUCGUGCUUGGGAUAGAGAGUUGCAAUUGUCGCUCUUGAACGAG
rnacentral:rRNA from 1 species